AUGGGAAGCCACUUAACUUGGAGUUGUAUCAGGCAGUCAGGUUCCAUUUGGAUCAAAGGGUCCGAUCUCCAUAUUCAAGGUAAUGACAGGGUGAGCUUUAAACAAGGCCAGCUCUUAAUUGUGAAACGCUGGCGACAGAAGACGAGCCUCACGCUUUGGCCCCUUUCCCCUAAACUGUCAGGAAACGGCCUGCGCUCAUUUGAAAUCGAUGGAAAUAUUGCAGAGUGCGGCCUCGGCAUUUCAAGAAGUCACUUAGAUGUGUCACUCCAGGAGGACGCUGAGACCUUGCCACGCUGUGAUCGACUCGGGAAUCUCGAGAACCUGAUGUUUGCCAGUGACCCCUUCAAUCAGGGUGGCAAACUAGGGACCGUGGGCCACAUUCAUCCUGCCGCCUGCUUUUGGAAGGCCUGCAAUCGAAGAAUGGUUUUCAUGUUUGUAUUUAUUUAUUUAUUUAUUUAUUUAUUUAUUUAUUUAUUUAUUUAUUUUUAAGACUUUUAAUUUAUUUAUUCAUGAAAAACACAGAGAAGAGAGAGAGAAGCAGAGACACAGGCAGAGGGAGAAGCAGGCUCCAUGCAGGGAGCCCGACAUGGGACUCGAUCCCAGGACUCCAGGAUCACGCCCUGGGCCAAAGGCAGGUGCUGAACUGCUGAGCCACCCGGGCUGUCCGGUUUUCACGUUUUUAAAUGGCGGAGUGGGGAGAAAACCCUGAAAGAAUAAUAGUAUUUGUGACGUGUCAGAAUGUCAUGGAAUUCAAAUCUCGGCAUCCAGAAGUAAAGAUGUUUUAAGCGUAGCUGCAACCAGUCCGUCUUGCACAUGGUCUGUCUCGGGGCUGUGUAAGGAUUCAGCUCUGCGCUGCAGGACAAAAGCAGCCACCGAUGAUCUGUAAAUGUUUGGGUGGGGUUGUUUUCUAGCACCAUAUUUCCACUGGUUUUUCCACAGUUUGCCAACCCCUGACUGAAACCGAAGUCCUUAGAGGCACAGCAGGAAUUCAGCUACUUCCUCCUCUGGCCCUGACUUGACGCAAGGAGAGAGAAAACAUAGACCAUGGACAGGAAGUAGGUGUGCAGAGAUGGCUUCUGUCUCUGCUCAUUUUCCAGAAGAUUCUGGGCUUAACAAGAAGGAAAGUUGUAGGGGUGCACCAAUCCACAACCCAUUUGCGGGGUGACAAUGGGGUUCAGCAAACUCCCCCUCCUGCCCCCUGGAGGACAUGCUGAGUGUUUUGGGGAGAAGUGCUUUCUCCAGCCCUGUGGGAUGGGUGUGAUGAAGCCCCUUGAGGGCCAAAUGGUCACUGGUGACUUUUUCAGUAAAUGUUUUUGUUUCACGGAACAUGUUGGGGUGUUUGUGGGAGGAAUCAGGAGUGACUAGAAUCACCUGCUUCAUCCAGGGAAGCAGGCCUGGAUGCCGGAGGGCCCAGAGGGAUCAAGAAUAAAGCUGAGUUGGGUCACAGGCAGAGGAGAAAGGACUGUCUGGGAUUGUUUAGAGAAAUACGUGAGAGACUUCAUCAGGUGUUGCCCAGCGGCGUGCUGUCACCCCGCUUCUACAUUUCCCUUGUGAAAAUUUACCCAUGUCUCUGUUCCUCAUCAGUGCUUUGGUUUGGAGAGGAUCCUCUUGAGGAAAACUGAAGCAGUGCCAAGUUCAUCAAGUGAAAAAAGAGGUGACAUGGCGGGACUAGAGAGAUUUGGGAAGAGCUGACAUUUUUUGAUGCUACCUCACCUGGGUCCGAGCAGCUGUCACGCCCUCCAGGGGCAUGUGGCUGUCCUGGGCACAUCAUCUGAAGUAGUUGCCCUUCCCUCGUUCUCUAUCCUUCCCAUUGUCAUGCCUUGUUUUAGUUUUCUUCAAGAUGUCUAGUAUCACCUGACAUAUUAUAUAAUUUUUUGGUUUUGUGUUGGAUGUUUCUCUUCCCUACUGAGGUCUGUGAGAGCAAGG
rnacentral:lncRNA from 1 species